rnacentral:rRNA from 1 species
AUGACCUCGGAUCAGGUAGGGAUACCCGCUGAACUUAAGCAUAUCAAUAAGCGGAGGAAAAGAAACCAACAGGGAUUACCUCAGUAACGC